ensembl:misc_RNA Metazoa_SRP Metazoan signal recognition particle RNA
GCUGGGUGUGGUGGCGUGCACCUGUAAUCCCAGCUACUCAGGAGGCUGAGGCAGGAUAAUUGCUCGAACCCAGGUGGCGGAGGUUGUAGUGAGCUGAGAUCACGCCACUGCACUCCCACCUGGGUGACAGAGCAAGACUGUCUCAA